rnacentral:lncRNA from 1 species
AAAAAAAGAUAUUUCCUCUGCAUUUUUCUCUGCUUCACUACCACAACCCAUCCGAAUCUCUCAAAAGCACACUCACUUUCUUUCUUUCUCUUCUCAGUUUCCCCAGAGAAAGAGAGUUCAGCUGCAUCCUCCUCUGUUUUCCCCUGUUUCUCAGUCUCCCAAUCUCCCUCUCUCCUCUGUUUCUCAGUCUCUGCUUUCCUCUGUUCCAAGCUCAUACUCUAUUUACCCCUCAUAUCCUUCGUGCCCGAUUCGAAGAAGAUGGAAACCCCAGGUUCAAAAUCUAAGCUCAACCCAAGUCAAAGCUUACCUCCCAAAAGGGGACAGAUAAAGAUCAGGAUAAUCAAGGGACUGGUCAAGUCUCUGUCUUCCUUGGUUGGUGGCGGAGGUCGUAGGCCGAGAGAAGAUGGAGGAUUCCUGAGCUCCAAUUCACAUACCCCAGCUCAAACCCCAAGUGGGUUUUGCUCAGGAGCUCAAUCCGAUGGCUCUGGACCCCUCAGCUAGCUGAAUUGAGGUUCUUCUUAGAAACCCCUCUGAUGUUAAUUAUAGCCUUACACAUAACCUUUGUUCAUUUUUUAAUUUAUUUGGUCUUCGAGUUUUUGGGAUGUGAGGUGCUGGUCGAGGAGUCUGGGUUUCAAGAUUGAAAUUUGGGGAACUGGGUAGCUUUGUUGGUGUUCCUAUACCUUUGCAGAAGUGAUGUAGGCCAUUGGAGGGUUUUGUUUUACUGUUGCAGAAAUGUAAAAUUUGGUUUUUUUUUUUUUUUUUUUCGUUCGUAUAUAAAUUAAUUUCUUGUAUUUAUGUGUGAGAUUUGUGUUGAUUUCGUACGUUUGGAGUUGGAUCCGAGCAUUAAUUUCAUGUUGGUUUCAGAACGAGGCACGGUAGCUUUCCUUUUUAACAGUGAAACUCAAAACCAAUAAUUUACUUGUUAUUUGGU